rnacentral:rRNA from 1 species
GACGAACCGAGCGAACGUUGUUCGGAAUCACUGGGCGUAAAGCGCACGUAGGCGGCUUCUUAAGUCAGGGGUGAAAUCCUGGAGCUCAACUCCAGAACUGCCUUUGAUACUGAGGAUCUUGAGUUCGGGAGAGGUGAGUGGAACUGCGAGUGUAGAGGUGAAAUUCGUAGAUAUUCGCAAGAACACCAGUGGCGAAGGCGGCUCACUGGCCCGAUACUGACGCUGAGGCACGAAAGCGUGGGGAGCAAACAGGG